CAGGGGGUGCUAGCGUUGUUCGGAAUUACUGGGCGUAAAGGGCGCGUAGGCGGUUUAGCAAGUCAGAUGUGAAAGCCCGGGGCUUAACUCCGGAAGUGCAUUUGAAACUGCUAGGCUAGAGUGCAGUAGAGGUUAUUGGAAUUCCCAGUGUAGAGGUGAAAUUCGUAGAUAUUGGGAGGAACACCAGUGGCGAAGGCGGAUAACUGGGCUGUAACUGACGCUGAGGCGCGAAAGCGUGGGGAUCAAACAGGAUUAGAUACCCUGGUAGUCCACGCCGUAAACGAUGGAUACUCGCUGUGGCUGGUAUUGACCCCGGCCGUAGCCAAGUUAACACGAUAAGUAUCCCGCCUGGGAAGUACGGUCGCAAGAUUA
rnacentral:rRNA from 1 species